UCUGAAGCUCUGUUGGGCUCAAACCAAGAAACACAGGUGGUCUUACCGAGCCACACAACUUUUUGGAAACUUUUAUUAAUUUUUUGGGGGUGCCCCAUUGUUCAGAGUCCUCUGGUUGCAUUUACAAGUGUAAUAGAAAAUGACAGCCCUGUUAUCCUUUCUUAAAAUGUCAAAGACCACAUAAAACAAACCUCAUUCACAGUAUGCGGUGCUUGGUUUUUUGUCCUUGCGAUAGUUUGCUGAGAAUGAUGGUUUCCAGCUUCAUCCAUUUCCCCACAAAGGACAUGAACUCAUCGUUUUUUAUGGCUGCAUAGUAUUCCACGGUGUAUAUGUGCCACAUUUUCUUAAUCCAGUCUAUCAUUGUUGGACAUUUGGGUUGGUUCCAAGUCUUUGCUAUUGUGAAUAGUGCCACAAUAAACAUAUGUGUGCAUGUGUCCUUAUAGCAGCAUGAUUUAUAAUCCUUUGGGUAUAUACCCACUAAUGGGAUGGCUGGGUCAAAUGGUAUUUCCAGUUCUAGAUCCCUGAGGAAUUGCCACACUGACUUCCACAAUGGUUGAACUAGUUUACAGUCCCACCAACAAUGUAAAAGUGUUCCUAUUUCACCACAUCCUCUCCAGCACCUGUUGUUUCCUGACUUUUUAAUGAUUGCCAUUCUAACUGGUGUGAGAUGGUAUCUCAUUGUGGUUUUGAUUUGCAUUUCUCUGAUGGCCAGUGAUGAUGAGCAUUUUUUCAUGUGUUUUUUGGCUGCAUAAAUGUCUUCUUUUGAGAAGUAUCUGUUCAUAUCAUUUGCCCACUUUUUGAUGGGGUUGUUUGU
rnacentral:lncRNA from 1 species